rnacentral:tRNA from 1 species
GGCUCCACAGUGUAGUGGUUAGCACGUCUGCUUUACACGCAGAAGGUCCUGGGUUCGCGCCCCAGGUGGAGCCA